UGGGGAAUAUUGCACAAUGGAGAGAACUCUGAUGCAGCGACGCCGCGUGAACGAGGAAGGCUUUCGAGUCGUAAAGUUCUUUUAUAUGGGAAGAUAAUGACGGUACCAUAAGAAAAAGCCCCGGCUAACUACGUGCCAGCAGCCGCGGUAAUACGUAGGGGGCUAGCGUUGUCCGGAAUCACUGGGCGUAAAGGGUUCGCAGGCGGAAAUGCAAGUCAGGUGUAAAAGGCAGUAGCUUAACUACUGUAAGCAUUUGAAACUGCAUAUCUUGAGAAGAGUAGAGGUAAGUGGAAUUUUUAGUGUAGCGGUGAAAUGCGUAGAUAUUAAAAAGAAUACCGGUGGCGAAGGCGACUUACUGGGCUCAUUCUGACGCUGAGGAACGAAAGCGUGGGUAGCAAACAGG
rnacentral:rRNA from 1 species